rnacentral:misc_RNA from 1 species
CUGUGCGCACGCCAGAGCGCCGCCGCCGUAAACCCCGCCGUUCCGAGCUCGGUUCCCGGCCGCCGUUGGAGCUCCGCCGUGUCCAUUGCCACGGUGAGCUUCGCCCCGACGUCCGCAACCCGGAACGCGCACCAAUUUCCCCUUCCCCUCCCUAUUUCGCUCUGCCCGCGCUCACCCGCCGUCCUCCGUGCAGCCGCCACCGUCGCCCCGGGCCGCCGUCGCGUCUCCGUCGCCACCGAGGAGUCCCCGGAGGCCGCUUUGAGGUACAAGCUCACUUUCAAGGCAUCAGAUGGAACUGCAGAAGCUGAAAUAUUUGCUUUCGACACUGUUGCGAGGACAAUUAUUGGGAAACCAUGUCCAAUGGUGAGUCGAAAGCUAACCUAUUCUCCAGCAAAGGAUAAACCUGAGACAAACCCUCUUGAUGCUAAUAAAAAUAGAGCUCCUGCAACAAUGCUUGAAUCACCUACAAAAAGGAUCAAACAAGACCCUAAGAAUCAACAAGAGUAG